GUGGGGAAUAUUGGGCAAUGGGCGCAAGCCUGACCCAGCAACGCCGCGUGAAGGAAGAAGGCUUUCGGGUUGUAAACUUCUUUUACCAGGGACGAAACAAAUGACGGUACCUGGUGAAUAAGCCACGGCUAACUACGUGCCAGCAGCCGCGGUAAUACGUAGGUGGCGAGCGUUAUCCGGAUUUAUUGGGUGUAAAGGGCGUGUAGGCGGGACAGCAAGUCAGAUGUGAAGACCAGAGGCUCAACCUCUGGCCUGCAUUUGAAACUGUUGUUCUUGAGUGUCGGAGAGGUAAUCGGAAUUCCGUGUGUAGCGGUGAAAUGCGUAGAUAUACGGAGGAACACCAGUGGCGAAGGCGGAUUACUGGACGAUAACUGACGCUGAGGCGCGAAAGCGUGGGGAGCAAACAGGAUUAGAAACCCCUGUAGUCC
rnacentral:rRNA from 1 species